GAAUCUUCCACAAUGGGCGAAAGCCUGAUGGAGCAACGCCGCGUGCAGGAUGAAGGCCUUCGGGUCGUAAACUGCUUUUAUUAGUGAAGAAUAUGACGGUAACCAAUGAAUAAGGGUCGGCUAACUACGUGCCAGCGGCCGCGGUCAUACGUAGGACCCAAGCGUUAUCCGGAGUGACUGGGCGUAAAGAGUUGCGUAGGCGGCGCGUUAAGCAGAUAGUGAAACCUUGUGGCUCAACCAUUAAGACUAUUAUCUGAACUGACGUGCUAGAGAAUGGUAGAGGUAGCUGGAAUUUCUAGUGUAGGAGUGAAAUCCGUAGAUAUUAGAAGGAACACCAAUGGCGUAGGCAGGCUACUGGACCAUUUCUGACGCUGAGGCACGAAAGCGUGGGGAGCGAACCGG
rnacentral:rRNA from 1 species